GACGAACGCUGGCGGCGUGCUUAACACAUGCAAGUCGAACGGAAAGGCCCUGCUUUUGUGGGGUGCUCGAGUGGCGAACGGGUGAGUAACACGUGAGUAACCUGCCCUUGACUUUGGGAUAACUUCAGGAAACUGGGGCUGAUACCGGAUAGGAGCUCCUGCUGCAUGUUGGGGGUUGGAAAGUUUCGGCGGUUGGGGAUGGACUCGCGGCUUAUCAGCUUGUUGGUGGGGUAGUGGCUUACCAGGGCUUUGACGGGUAGCCGGCCUGAGAGGGUGACCGGCGACAUGGGGACUGAGAUACGGCCCAGACGCCUACGGGAGGCAGCAGGGGGGAGUAUUGCACAAUGGGGGGAAGCCUGAUGCAGAAGCGCCGCGUGCGUAAUGACGGCCUUCGGGUGGAAAACCGCUUUCGACUGAGACGAAGCGGGAGUGACGGUAAUGGGUAAAAAAGCACCGGCUAACUACGUG
rnacentral:rRNA from 1 species